rnacentral:rRNA from 1 species
UACGUGGGUCCCGAGCGUUGUCCGGAUUUAUUGGGCGUAAAGCGAGCGCAGGCGGUUAGAUAAGUCUGAAGUUAAAGGCUGUGGCUUAACCAUAGUACGCUUUGGAAACUGUUUAACUUGAGUGCAAGAGGGGAGAGUGGAAUUCCAUGUGUAGCGGUGAAAUGCGUAGAUAUAUGGAGGAACACCGGUGGCGAAAGCGACUCUCUGGUCUGUCACUGACGCUGAGGUGCGAAAGCGUGGGUAGCAAACAGG